rnacentral:rRNA from 1 species
CCCUUGUCUGUAGUUGCCAUCAUUAAGUUGGGCACUCUAGAGAGACUGCCAGGGAUAACCUGGAGGAAGGUGGGGAUGACGUCAAAUCAUCAUGCCCCUUAUGCUUAGGGCUACACACGUGCUACAAGGGGUAGUACAGAGGGUUGCCAAGCCGUAAGGUGGAGCUAAUCCCUUAAAGCUACUCUCAGUUCGGAUUGUAGGCUGAAACUCGCCUACAUGAAGCUGGAGUUACUAGUAAUCGCAGAU